rnacentral:rRNA from 1 species
CAUGGAGGGUGAGAAUCCCGUCCGGUUGAUCAUUUGCGUUUUACGAUACGCUUUCUAAGAGUCAAGUUGUUUGGGAUUGCAGCUUAAAAUGGGAGGUAAAUUUCUCCUAAGGCUAAAUAACGGCGAGAGACCGAUAGCGAACAAGUACCGUGAGGGAAAGAUGAAAAGAACUUUGAAAAGAGAGUUAAACAGUACGUGAAAUUGUUGAAAGGGAAACGAUUGAAGCCAGUCGUACCUUCGGGUAAUCAGCCUUUCGGGUGUGAUUCUGUGGAGUGUGAGGAGCUUAAACACCUUCAUGUUUUGCAUAUUCGUACUCUUGGGUGUACUUGCCCGUGUGGUUGGUUAACAUCAAUUUUGGUGGUCAUAAAAUGACUGGAGGAAUGUAGCUUCGAUCUUGUAUUGAAGUGUUAUAGCCUUCGGUAGAUGUGAUGAUCGAGAUUGAGGAUUGCAACGGAUACCCUUCGGGGCUACCUGUCUGAUCUCUGAUCGUUGCUCUGGUGCCGAAAGCUUGCUUACGGUUAUCAAAGUCGAUGGUCAAUAGGUUAGAACGGGUUAAAUUCGUUAAGGAUGUUGACGUAAUGG